GGUUGUGUAUCCCAGUGGCAGAGCACUUGCCUAUCAUGUGGCAAGGCUCUGGGUUUGAAUCCCAGCACCACCA
rnacentral:tRNA from 1 species